rnacentral:misc_RNA from 1 species
UACGGAGGGUGCGAGCGUUGCUCGGAAUUAUUGGGCGUAAAGGGGAGGUAGGUGGUCUUGCAUGUCGAGGGUGAAAUCCCUGAGCUCAACUCAGGACGUGCCCUCGAAACUGCAGGACUAGAGUCCUGGAGAGGGUCGCGGAAUUCCCGGUGUAGCGGUGAAAUGCGUAGAGAUCGGGAGGAACACCAGAAGCGAAGGCGGCGACCUGGACAGGAACUGACACUCAACUCCGAAAGCGUGGGUAGCAAACAGG